GCCAGCAGUGUGGGAACAACAUUCUCCUAAUCCCUAGCCAGCCAGCCGUGUGGGAACAACAUUCUCCUAAUCCCUAGCCAGCCAUGUGGGAACAACAUUCUCCUAAUCCCUAGCCAGCCGUGUGGGAACAACAUUCUCCUAAUCCCUAGCCAGCCAGCCGUGUGGGAACAACAUUCUCCUAAUCCCUAGCCAGCCGUGUGGGAACAACAUUCUCCUAAUCCCUAGCCAGGCGUGUGGGAACAACAUUCUCCUAAUCCCUAGCCAGCCGUGUGGGAACAACAUUCUCCUAAUCCCUAGCCAGCCAGUGUGGGAACAACAUUCUCCUAAUCCCUAGCCAGCCAUGUGGGAACAACAUUCUCCUAAUCCCUAGCCAGCCAUGUGGGAACAACAUUCUCCUAAUCCCUAGCCAGGCCAGCCAUGUGGGAACAACAUUCUCCUAAUCCCUAGCCAGGCCAGCCAUGUGGGAACAACAUUCUCCUAAUCCCUAGCCAG
ensembl:lncRNA